GAGUUUGAUCCUGGCUCAGGAUGAACGCUGGCGGCGUGCUUAACACAUGCAAGUCGAACGGAACUCUUUUGAUUGAGGCUUCGGCCAAAUGAUUCUGAGUUUAGUGGCGGACGGGUGAGUAACGCGUGAGUAACCUGCCUUGGAGUGGGGAAUAACGGCUGGAAACGGUCGCUAAUACCGCAUAAAGCAUUGAGAUCGCAUGGUUUUAAUGCCAAAGAUUUAUCGCUCUGAGAUGGACUCGCGUCUGAUUAGCUAGUUGGUGAGGUAACGGCCCACCAAGGCGACGAUCAGUAGCCGGACUGAGAGGUUGACCGGCCACAUUGGGACUGAGACACGGCCCAGACUCCUACGGGAGGCAGCAGUGGGGAAUAUUGGGCAAUGGGCGCAAGCCUGACCCAGCAACGCCGCGUGAAGGAAGAAGGUCUUCGGAUUGUAAACUUCUUUUAUCAGGGACGAAGUAAGUGACGGUACCUGAUGAAUAAGCCACGGCUAACUACGUGCCAGCCGCCGCCGGUAAUAC
rnacentral:rRNA from 1 species